GAUGAACGCUGGCGGCGUGCCUAAUACAUGCAAGUCGAGCGAACGGACGAGAAGCUUGCUUCUCUGAUGUUAGCGGCGGACGGGUGAGUAACACGUGGAUAACCUACCUAUAAGACUGGGAUAACUUCGGGAAACCGGAGCUAAUACCGGAUGAUAUUUUGAACCGCAUGGUUCAAAAGUGAAAGACGGUCUUGCUGUCACUUAUAGAUGGAUCCGCGCUGCAUUAGCUAGUUGGUAAGGUAACGGCUUACCAAGGCAACGAUGCAUAGCCGACCUGAGAGGGGUCUCGGCCCACCUGGAACUGGAAACCGGUCCGACCUCCUACGGGGGGCAGCGGUGGGGAAUCUUCCGCAAUGGGCGAAAGCCUGACGGGGCAACGCCGCGUGGGUGAUGAAGGUCUUCGGGUCGUAAAACUCUUUUUUUAGGGAAAAAAAAAUGUGUAAGUAACUGUGCCCAUCUUGACGGUACCUAAUCAGAAAGCCCCGGCUAACUACUU
rnacentral:rRNA from 1 species